UCGAUGGAUAGGGGUUCUGAGAGGAAGGUCCCCCACAUUGGAACUGAGACACGGUCCAAACUCCUACGGGAGGCAGCAGUGAGGAAUAUUGGUCAAUGGGCGCAGGCCUGAACCAGCCAAGUAGCGUGAAGGAUGACUGCCCUAUGGGUUGUAAACUUCUUUUAUAAAGGAAUAAAGUCGGGUAUGGAUACCCGUUUGCAUGUACUUUAUGAAUAAGGAUCGGCUAACUCCGUGCCAGCAGCCGCGGUAAUACGGAGGAUCCGAGCGUUAUCCGGAUUUAUUGGGUUUAAAGGGAGCGUAGAUGGAUGUUUAAGUCAGUUGUGAAAGUUUGCGGCUCAACCGUAAAAUUGCAGUUGAUACUGGAUAUCUUGAGUGCAGUUGAGGCAGGCGGAAUUCGUGGUGUAGCGGUGAAAUGCUUAGAUAUCACGAAGAACUCCGAUUGCGAAGGCAGCCUGCUAAGCUGCAACUGACAUUGAGGCUCGAAAGUGUGGGUAUCAAACAGGAUUAGAUACCCUGGUAGUC
rnacentral:rRNA from 1 species